ensembl:lncRNA
AACUCGAAAAGGGGGCUGGGUACGUUUUCUGAACCACUCCAAAACGAUGGAGUUGCAUAACUUCAGAAAACAACGGCAGUUUGUGGGCAAGGCAAGCCCACUCGAUGCUAAUCAACCAAGGGGCACACACACCCCUCUAUCGUCAACGCCCCCUCCACAAUCUCCCUCCCCGAUAGGUCCAGGCAGAGAUGGAAAAAAACAACAACAAGGGCUUUAAAAACAUCCACAUUGUUCCGUCCAUCAGUAACAUCUGGUUAUCAAACCGGGGUACUGUGGCUACAUUCUCCUGUUUUUCGGCACAUUGUUUAUUCUCCUCCAUCUCCGGGGAGGACAGAAAUCAAAGUUUACAGUUUUUUUCUUGCGUGAACUCAAAACGCGAACAUGCCCAGCAAGAGGAAGAAGAACAAGCGCCGCAUGAGAAGGGUGCAGGCCCAGAGGAGAGUCCUUGAGGAGCAGCAUUCUACUGGCGCAGGCAAAGGAACCCCAGGAGUGGCUGCCGUGGCACCCCCCCUUGAAAUAUUAAAUUGUCCCCCCCUUCUCUCACCCCCUCCAGUAGUAAAGGUCCCAGUCGUAAAGCCCCCUGAAAUAUCCAAUUGUCACCCCCUUAUUCCCCCCACUAUAGUAGUAAAGGUCCCAUUCGUACAGCCACCGGCCCCAGUCAAAGUACCAGAUCCUGAGGCUGUGGUGACGGUGGUAGAGCCUGAAGUGGUAGCAGCUGAGGUUGAAGUUGAGGCCCCAGUCGAAGCUCCAGUGGAGGUUGAAGUCGAGGCCCCAGAAGAAGUUCCAGAAGAAGUCCCAGUCGAGGCCCCAGAAGAAGUCCCAGUCGAGGCCCCAGUCGAGGCCCCAGAAGAAGUCCCAGUCGAGGCCCCAGAAGAAGUCCCAGUCGAGGCCCCAGAAAAAGUCCCAGUCGAGGCCCCAGAAGAAGUCCCAGUCGAGGCCCCAGAAGAAGUCCCAGCCGAGACCCCAGAAGAAGUCCCAGUCGAGGCCCCAGAAGAAGUCCCAGUCGAGGCCCCAGAAGAAGUCCCAGUCGAGGCCCCAGAAGAAGUCCCAGUCGAGGCCCCAGAAGAAGUCCCAGUCGAGGCCCCAGAAGAAGUCCCAGUCGAGACCCCAGAAGAAGUCCCAGUCGAGGCUCCAGAAGAAGUCCCAGUUGAGGUCCCAGUCGUAGAAGCAGAAGCUCCUGUUGAGCCCCCUACAGAAGAAACUGCAGCAGGGCAGGAAGUUGAAGAAAGCAUCAUUCCAGAGACUGAGCCAGUAACUGAGGCCAUACCCAUUCCUGAGGCCCCUGUGUCAGCUCUUGCUGAAUUUGAGGUUCAGGUCGCAAACUCCGUAGCGAUUACCACAGAGAUCGCACAGCAUGAGACUGUUAUGGCAGAGGCACCUGAAGAGGUUCCAGUGCAGACAGAAAUUAUCCCAGAAAAGCUGUGGAAGCCCGUGGAAGCACCGAUUGAAGAAGCCCCCGUAGCCAAGAUCGCUCCAGCAGAGCUCCUCGUAGAGGCCUCAGUAGACCCUGUCAUCAACACAAUGGCUGACUUUGCCAUCACAGAAUCUGUUCCCGUUGUGGAAGCAGCCAUGGCUGAGCAGGUGCCCGCAGUUUCAACGGAUUCACUUGACGCCCUAUCGGAGUUGCUGAACGACAUCACUCUAGUCACUGAGCCCGCCCCUGUCACAGCUGAUAAAGUCAUUGACGAGCCAGAGUGUGAGGAGAAAGACGUGACAGAGAUGAGGGCUAAAGAGGAAAUUGGAGCCCAGAUGGAAAUCGAGGCUAAAAAGGAUGCCAUAGAUGAGAAGACGGUCCUUGACGUCAUCUCUGGAGAUUUAUCCACCCCCCACCCUGUUAUCUCAGAACUGCAGUGUCACACGCAGCUCGCCGCCCCCAAGGAAAUCCCAACAGAGGCAGUGCUGAAUGGACAGAUGGCAGCUGAGGUGGCCAUUGAGGGAUAGAUCUCUAUGGAUGUCCUCAGUCAGUAUGAAAGACUAAAGAGAGCCUGACAGUGAGCCGACCAGCGAACUUUACUUUUCAUUUUUUAGGGCUUAAAGGGACCGCUGGGAAAUUUGACAGACAUCCAACACUCAGUGCCUUUCUUGCUUGGGUUCUUACAAACAAAAUAUUAAACAAGUUUAAAAUGCGACAUGAAGGUGGGGGAAUAACACUUUUUUGUUGUUGAUCAGAAUGUGACAAUUUGGAAUAAACAAAUCAUGGCUUUCAUAGAUUUCUGUAUCCCAUUGCAUAUAUUGUGGAUUUGCCUCAAUUGUAAAUGGCAUGCAUUGUGUAUGAAUACUGUAGAAUUAAUGAAUGUGGCAAUGGCUUGUCUUCACAUGUUUGUAUGGAUGAGAGGGAUUAAUUCCUUGUACACGUUUCCUGUUUUAACCUGGUUUGAUUCCUUUUUGUGAAGGGACAGUAUGGCAGUUUGUACAGUACCAUAGCUACCCCCUCUUCUCCCUAUCCCCAUUGUGGUACUUUUGUUUUUUCAGGGACUGUAUGAUGACAGCUCCACCCUCUUUACUGUGUAGUGUCAGUGUGUCUACAGUCCCAAGUCUGUCCUGGGCAAUGUGAAAUGGUGUGUAGUUUUAGGUCCUCUGACCAGAUGCUCUUAACAUUUAAUUACCUAUGCUGCCAACUUAAAAUAGAGUAUGGGGGCCUGUAGAUCCUGUUUUUAGUUUUUCUUUUCUUUUUCUGUUUUGUAUAGACCAUAUGAUGUGGUACAACCGCUGUUUGUGUUCAGUUACGUGCUCUGGAAUUGACCAUGGAGUUGUCAUGUAAUUGAGGAGCUGGGUUGGAUUUCAUUCACCUUUUUGAAUAAAGAUGUUACUCACCAA